AAUAUUUUUCAUUCCCACUAUACAGUUGCUCUGUCUUGCCCUCACAUGAACCCAAGUUGCUAAAUUCAGAAAGGACCUGUGAAAUCUGUCUUAGACCUCCAAGUCCUCCACACGUACUGCCUAGUUAAACACAGCAUUUAUGCCAGAGACCUGGAAGAAGAUAAAAGUCAUGCUUCCUUGCCUGUCUUCAGUGGACAGUAUCACCUGAGUUAACCUGUGUAGCUGUGUAAAGAGGAGAUAUUCAGUUGGCAUAAGGAGGAAUACCAGUAUGCAACUGCUUCCUUGGUGUCUGCCCCUUCAGAAGGUGCAAGAAAAUCCUCAUAUCUGCUCCGUGCUGACUCCUGGAUGUUGAUCCUCGUUCUGUUAGAGUUUCAACCACAGUUCAGGAAACAAGCUCCCAGGAAGAGAACUGAGUGACUGAGGCUCACUUAGAGGUGCCUGAACUGAGGUUCCCUUGUCGCUCCGGCCUGACCCUUGUCAGCAGUGUGGCCAGCAGCAGCCCUCCCUGGGACAG